rnacentral:rRNA from 1 species
AGAGUUUGAUCCUGGCUCAGAAUCAACGCUGGCGGCGUGCCUAACACAUGCAAGUCGAACGCGAAAGCCCCGCAAGGGGCAAGUAGAGUGGCAAACGGGUGAGUAACACGUGGGUGACCUGCCUUCGAGUGGGGGAUAACGUCCCGAAAGGGACGCUAAUACCGCAUGACAUCCUGCCUUUGAACAGGCGGAGAUCAAAGCUGGGGAUCGCAAGACCUGGCGCUCAAAGAGGGGCCCGCGCCUGAUUAGCUAGUUGGUGGGGUAAUGGCUCACCAAGGCAACGAUCAGUAUCCGGCCUGAGAGGGCGGACGGACACACUGGGACUGAGACACGGCCCAGACUCCUACGGGAGGCAGCAGUGGGGAAUAUUGCACAAUGGGCGAAAGCCUGACGGAGUGACGCCGCGUGGGGGACGAAGGCCUUCGGGUCGUAAACCCCUGUCAGAGGGAAAGAAGGGUCGCCGGCCUAACACGUCGGUGAUCUGACGGUACCUUCAGAGGAAGCCCCGGCCAACUCUGUGCCAGCAGCCGCGGUAAUUC